AGUCGAGCGAGCUUGCCUAGAUGAAUUUGGUGCUUGCACCAGAUGAAACUAGAUACAAGCGAGCGGCGGACGGGUGAGUAACACGUGGGUAACCUGCCCAAGAGACUGGGAUAACACCUGGAAACAGAUGCUAAUACCGGAUAACAACACUAGACGCAUGUCUAGAGUUUAAAAGAUGGUUCUGCUAUCACUCUUGGAUGGACCUGCGGUGCAUUAGCUAGUUGGUAAGGUAACGGCUUACCAAGGCAAUGAUGCGUAGCCGAGUUGAGAGACUGAUCGGCCACAUUGGGACUGAGACACGGCCCAAACUCCUACGGGAGGCAGCAGUAGGGAAUCUUCCACAAUGGACGCAAGUCUGAUGGAGCAACGCCGCGUGAGUGAAGAAGGGUUUCGGCUCGUAAAGCUCUGUUGGUAGUGAAGAAAGAUAGAGGUAGUAACUGGCCUUUAUUUGAUGGUAAUUACUUAGAAAGUCACGGCUAACUACGUGCCAGCAGCCGCGGUAAUACGUAGGUGGCAAGCGUUGUCCGGAUUUAUUGGGCGUAAGGCGAGUGCAGGCGGUUCAAUAAGUCUGAUGUGAAAGCCUUCGGCUCAACCGGAGAAUUGCAUCAGAAACUGUUGAACUUGAGUGCAGAAGAGGAGAGUGGAACUCCAUGUGUAGCGGUGGAAUGCGUAGAUAUAUGGAAGAACACCAGUGGCGAAGGCGGCUCUCUGGUCUGCAACUGACGC
rnacentral:rRNA from 1 species